rnacentral:rRNA from 1 species
CCUACGGGAGGCAGCAGUGAGGAAUAUUGGUCAAUGGACGGAAGUCUGAACCAGCCAUGCCGCGUGGAGGAAGAAGGUCCUAUGGGUUGUAAACUCCUUUUGUUCCAGAGUAAUAAGGGCUUUGUGAAGCCUGAUGAGAGUAUGGGACGAAUAAGCAUCGGCUAACUCCGUGCCAGCAGCCGCGGUAAU